GACGAACGCUGGCGGCGUGCUUAACACAUGCAAGUCGAACGGAAAGGCCCUGCUUUUGUGGGGUGCUCGAGUGGCGAACGGGUGAGUAACACGUGAGUAACCUUCCCUUUACUUUGGGAUAACUUCAGGAAACUGGGGCUAAUACCGGAUAGGAGCUCCUGCUGCAUGGUGGGGGUUGGAAAGUUUCGGCGGUUGGGGAUGGACUCGCGGCUUAUCAGCUUGUUGGUGGGGUAGUGGCUUACCAAGGCUUUGACGGGUAGCCGGCCUGAGAGGGUGACCGGCCACAUUGGGACUGAGAUACGGCCCAGACUCCUACGGGAGGCAGCAGUGGGGAAUAUUGCACAAUGGGCGGAAGCCUGAUGCAGCAACGCCGCGUGCGGGAUGACGGCCUUCGGGUUGUAAACCGCUUUCGCAUGUGACGAAGCGUGAGUGACGGUAAUGGGUAAAGAAGCACCGGCUAACUACGUG
rnacentral:rRNA from 1 species